rnacentral:lncRNA from 1 species
AACUGCCUGGACGAAAUCUGGAAAACCCAGAAAUCGUCAAGAACAACUCCUGACAUCACUGACCGGCCUUAAUCUCUCACAUGUGAUGUUGUUUGACUGAUUUAGUGUUAUGUAGUUGUUCCUUGUCAUGAGUAAUACAUGUAUGGACCAAGAAAACACUUAACUGAUGAACAGAACCUAGAUAAAAUCGAGCCACAAAGUGGUCACUCGAAAC